AUGCUUCAGCAGCAUAUUAACUAAAAUUGGAAGAACUCAGAAAAGACCAACCUAGUCCUAUGCAAGAAAGACUUGCAAAUUCAUGAAGGGUUCCAUAUUUUG
rnacentral:snRNA from 1 species